AGAUUAUUCGGUUGAGUGAACUUGUGAGGAGCAUACCACUGAAGAAAGCAGGCCUAACACUGUUGUUCUGAAAGCUAUCCAUUCUAUGUCCAUUCAACGUGAGAUCCUCAAAUUUGGUUGAUUUAGGCUCAUGCAGCAUCCAUCAUCAACAAUGGCCAACUCUCCUACCAAUGGUAUGGUAGUGCUCACCCAUCUGUACCCUCAACAAGGUAUUGAAAAUGACCUUUCACACCACACUGGAGUUAUUCAACCAGCUUCCUCUCUGCUCAGAGGGUUCCUAAAGAGAGAGCCAGCUGUCCUAGGAACAGUUCAAAUAAUGACAGGCAUGGUCAUAUUCUUGCUCGGCAUUGUAUCUGCAUUUGUUGGGACAUUAUCCACUUACUUUGGUAUCAUGUUCUGGGGAGCCAUUAUUCAUUUUGUCAUAGCCGCCUCUAAAAGGAUAUGCACUGCAGUAAACAGAACAUCCUUUCUUUCAGUACAUCACAGCUGGUUCACUCACUGUGAGAGCUUCUAAAGAGCUUAAUCAGUGUUUGGUCAACGCAUCACUGGGGAUGAAUAUUGCCAGCACAAUAACUGCAGGACUGGCCAUAAUUCUACACAGCUUUGAUUUCAUUAUCCCAAUGUACCCGAAUUACAGCUGCAGUAAUCAUUAUGAUGAUUAUAGUUGUCUAAGGAACAAAAACAUUUUCUUGAGCAGGGUAUGGGGGAUGACUGGUGUGUUGCUAGUGUUGUCUGUUCUGGAGUUUAUAGUCUCCUUAUCUGUAUCAGCAUUUGCUUGCGAAGCUACCUGUUCUUCUAACAUUGGACAGGUGAUAUAUAUUUCAAGCCAAGUGCCACCCUCUAUUCCCACUUCCCACCUGCCAACACCUCCAGUAAACACCUCUGAGACACCUAUCUGUCCAGCCAGUGUGGGGCUUCCUGCUCACCUCAGCAGAGCUGACGAAUGGGGGAAUGGCAAACCUGAAGAUCCUCCCCCAGAAUACACAGCUACUCAAGACUGAGUCAGACAACAUGUAACAGGAAAGAAUGUGUUUAUCAUGCAAAUAUUAACCUUUCAACUAAAUCUAUCAAUGAAUUAGUAUGUAUGUAUGUAUGCUGUGCAUGAAUGUGAGUUUUCAUACUGAUAGUCUACCCUUAAAGGCACAGUCGUCGAUCGUACGAGAUUUCAAGCCCAACUAGCGUGCUCCCUGAAAUUAAUGCAAGUAGAUGGCAUUGAAGAAAGUAUGUCAAUACAAGAUGUAUUAUUAUAUCAGAAAUGUAUUAGCAAUUGACAUCAAUAUACAUAAGGCAACACAGCACUGGUAAAUCCCAAGAUGUAUUUUUCUCCUUUUUAAAGCAUGAAAAGCUCAUGAAUCACUACCACCUCCUCUUGGAGUUGCUAAUUCUUGUUUUGAGCUUCAAAUUCAAUUCUAUUUACAUUUGUUGAUAUACCAGACUCUUUUAUUCAAAGCAAUCUACAGAACAUAUAGGCAUGCAUUUUCAUCUGUAGCCUGUUUGCCCUUCUAUUCAAUUAUCUUGCUGCUGUUGUUAGCACCCUCACCUUCACCAGUUGCUCUACCAGACGAGUGGAUGUAUGUAAAAUUAGUAUAUAUUUUUGCAAAACUUUAUAUCGCUGAAAUAUUUUGGUACAAAUACUGCAGUAUAACACCUGUUGCAUGAUCAUUACAUGUCAUACAAAUAGUAAUUUCCAUGUCUCUUCUCAGGAUAAUAUUAUGGAUAAUAUAAUUUCUAUUUAUAAGACUGAUGACACAGACUACCUGUGUAUGUUUCAAUAGUGUAGUUUUACCUGAAAACAUCUGAGGUACAUGACUUGAAAAUGUCAGCAUUAGGAAAUACGACAAUAAACAGUAAUUUGCAAUGGAAUCUCAUAAUUCUGAUGAAAUUCCAUCUUCCUCAAAAUCUAAUACAGAAAUUUUAAAUGUG